CUGGAGACUUGAAGGCCCCCCCAAGAAACUGGCUCUCUCCCAGACGGCAAAUUUUUAACCUGAAACACGUGAGCACUUCUUUCUUUCCAUCCCAGAAUUGUACUGCCUGGUUCUGAUUCUAAAAUUUUGUCUAAAAUGUAUAAAUUGCUGCUUGAAUGGCAUUUGAAGGACGAGGAGGUUAAGUCGGUUAUGAUUCACUGGGCCAAGGAUUUUGGGUAUAAUAUACAGCUGAGUGACUGGGUAAAAUUAUGGAAAGAAGGUUUAAAAUUUACUGCAUGCAAUGCCUUAAAAGAAAAUGUGAUGAAAAUGAUGUAUAGAUGGUAUAUUACACCUGUCAAGUUAGCGAAGAUGUAUAAAGUCAGUAAUAAAUGUUGGAAAUCUAAAGAAAAAGAGGGAACAUUUUAUCACAUGUAGUGGGAAUGUAAAAAGGUGAAAUGCUUCUGGGAGAUGAUAUAUAACGAGAUGAAAAAAAUGUUGAAAUAUACAUUUAUAAAGAAACCAGAAGCAUUUUUACUAGGCAUUGUUGGGAGUGAUAUAAAUAGAAAGGAAUGUAAGCUCUUUUUAUAUGCAAUAACAGCAGCAAGAAUAUUAUUGGCCCAAAAAUGGAAGCAAGAUGAAUUACCAACGAUUGAAGAAUGGAGGAUGAAGUUAAUGGACUAUGCAGAACUAGAUAAACUAACAGGAAGGAUUCGAAACCGGCGGGACCAUAAAUUCACGGAAGACUGGAGUAAAUUUACGGACUAUCUGAAAAGUAUUUGUGAAGAUCAGAUGACGUUUGUAGAUUUGCAAGAAGUUUUGUGGGGAGUAUGAUUGGAAGUAUUGCAAAAAUGGAGAAGGGGAAGGAUGAUUUGUUAAGAGAUGUAAAGGCAAUAUAAAGUUAAGAAGUGGUUAAAAUGGUGGCUCAUCAGAGGUGCUGAUGAAAGUCCAAAAAGAUUGUAUAAGUGAUAAGUUUUGUGGUACAUUUUAUAAUUUAUAUGUUAAAAUCAAUAAAAAUUAUUUUUUUUAAAAAAAGAAUUGUACGGCCUGGUUCUAGCGGCUCGGUGACCAAGAGGGAAAACCACUCUGCGUGUGCUCCGGAGACAACCGCUCUUUAUUUUUAAGCAGAAUUCGGGUGGCAUUGUAAAUCAUCAAAUCGCAGAAUUCUAGAGUCGGAAGGGACACCUGAGGGUCAUCCAGACCAACCCGCUCCAAUGCAGGAAUAUUUUGCCAUGAGCAAGAACUCCCCACAUUGGAAGAUUGGCAAGUAAAGAUGGUUGAAUAUGUGGAUUCGGAAUCGCCGUGAUGAACUGUUUCCAAAGGACCGGGGGAAAAUUAUACUUUAUAGGAAAGAAAAUUGUAAACAUUUGAAAACGUGUGUCUGAGUCGAAAUGUUUGGUAAUGGGAAAUUAAGUAGCUGAUUUACUUAUAAGAAAGCGAUUGCUAAAAGAUUGAUGUAAGGUAAAAAAGUGAAUAUAGGAAUGUGAAGAAAUUGGUAAAGUGAUAUGGAAGUCUGUUAG